CCUCUCCCGUUGCGGAGCACAGGCUCCGGAUGCGCAGGCUUAGCGGCCAUGGCUCACUGACCCAGCCGCUCCGCGGCAUGUGGGAUCUUCCUGGACCGGGGCACGAACCCGUGUCCUCUGCAUCCUUCUCAAACUCUUCCAAAAUAUAGCAGAGGGAGGAACACUCCCAAACUCAUUCUACGAGGCCAUCAUCACCUUGAUACCAAAACCAGACAAGGAUGUCACAAAGAAAGAAAACUACAGGCCAAUAUCACUGAUGGACAUAGAUGCAAAAAUCCUCAACAAUAUACUAGCAAACAGAAUCCAACAGCACAUUAAAAGGAUCGUACACCAUGAUCAACUGGGGUUUAUUCCAGGAAUGCAAGGAUUCUUCAAUAUACGCAAAACAAUUAAUGUGAUAAACCACAUUAACAAAUUGAAGGAGAAAAACCAUAUGAUCAUCUCAAUAGAUGCAGAGAAAGCUUUCGACAAAAUUCAACACCCAUUUAUGAUAAAAACCAUAGAGGGAACUUUCCUCAACAUAAUAUAGACCAUAUAUGACAAACCCACAGCCAACAUCAUCCUCAAUGGUGAAAAACUGAAAGCAUUUCCACUAAGAUCAGGAACAAGACAAGGUUGCCCACUCUCACCACUCUUAUACAACAUAGUUUUGGAAGUUUUAGCCACAGCGAUCAGAGAAGAAAAGGAAAUAAAAGGAAUCCAAAUCGGAAAAGAAGUAAAGCUGUCACUGUUUGCAGAUGACAUGAUGCUAUACAUAGAGAAUCCUAAAGUUGCUACCAGAAAACUACUAGAGCUAAUCAAUGAAUUUGGUAAAGCUGCAGGAUACAAAAUUAAUGCACUGAAAUCUCUGGCAUUCCUAUACACUAAUGAUGAAAAAUCUGAAAGUGAAAUCAAGAAAUCACUCCCAUUUACCAUUGCAACAAAACGAAUAAAAUAUCUAGGAAUAAACCUACCUAAGGAGACAAAAGACCUGUAUGCAGAAAAUUAUAAGACACUGAUGAAAGGAAUUAAAGAUGAUACAAAAUAGAUGGAGAGAUAUACCAAGUUCUUGGAUUGGAAGAAUCAACAUUGUGAAAAUGACUCUACUACCCAAAGCAAUCUACAGAUUCAAUGCAAUCUCUAUCAAACUACCAGUGGUAUUUUUCACAGAACUAGAACAAAAAAUUUCACAAUUUGUAUGGAGACACAGAAGACCCCGAAUAGCCAAAGCAAUCUUGAGAACGAAAAACGGAGCUGGAGGAAUCAGGCUCCCUGACUUCAAACUAUACUACAAAGCUACCGUAAUCAAGACAGUAUGGUACUGGCACAGAAACAGAAAGAUAGAUCAAUGGAACAGGAUAGAAAGCCCAGAGAUAAACCCACGCACAUAUGGUCACCUCAUCUUUGAUAAAGGAGGCAGGAAUGUAUAGUGGAGAAAGGACAGCCUCUUCAAUAAGUGGUGCUGGGAAAACUGGACAGAUGAUUUCAAAAUGUUCUCCUCCACCAACUUCCAAAGCUUGCUGGCUCGGCCAACUUGAUGCAACUCAGCAUCGCUGGGAUAGAAGAACACAUGGAACUUUUAGAAUUGAGGUGAAAUGGAACGGGGAGCAGAUUAAGGCAGCCUAGAGGUGCUGAACCUUGGAGGACCAUUUUAACAUUGGCCAUUUCAUCCGUAAAUGUUCUUUGAACUAAUCGGAAGUGGGCCUGGCUCUAAGCUACUGCCAAGUCUCCCCGUCAUUGGUUUUCCUGUGUGUGUAAAGGAAGGUGUGAGGAAAAGAAAAGGACACCCCUGUCACACCUGGGAAGACGGAACACUCAUCCCAUACAGAGGACAAUGUCAGGACAUUACGGGAGCAUACUGAAGAUCUCCCAGUUUUGCAAAAUACAUGCUAGGGGGACUACAAGAUGGAACAGAGCUCUGAUUAUCCAUACUUAAUUAUUCAUGGCUGGUGUUAUCUAAUAUUAAUAAAGCAAACAAAUGCAAUGCAAAA